rnacentral:lncRNA from 1 species
AAGGAGGUUGAUGGACAGUGGUGAUGAAGCCAUUCAAAUAAGACGUAGAGCUCAAGAGAUUGCAAAAAUAGCUAAACAUGUUGUUCAAGAAGGUGGCUCAUCCCAUGAUAAUUUGACGGCUUUGAUUGAUGAGCUUAAGCAAUUAAGAGACAAUAAGGGACUUAAUUAAUAAUGAUGUCAUCAAACCGAAUUAUAAUUGUGAUAGUAUAAUUAAUUGUUCAUUAUUCGACAAAAAAAUUGUGUAUUUAUUUAUUGGAAAUUCUACUUCAAGCGACAAACGGUAACACAAAGUUAUCACAAGAUAAUAUAUAAUUGUCAUUAGUUGAAUUAGAUCGUUUUUCUUGAAUUAGUGAUAUAUGAACAACCUAAAAAGGUUGUCAAGUAUCCACACCGUAGCAUUAUAAAGCAAAUUACAGCAUGCACGCAAACCAAGGCAAGGAAAGAAACAAAUAAAAAAAAAAUGAAAAAGUGGGUGCAAAAUACUAUUAUACGGUGUGGGACAACUUAUAUGUUGUCAAAAUAACAUUCCUCCUUUCAUUUUGCCUCUGUUCAAAUAUAAACCAAACAGAAAAGUACAUGUUUCGGAUUGUAAAAACCAGACUUCAGUUAGACACCUUGGAAAAACCAGCCAUCUUGAAUGAAAAGGCCAAAAGUAACAUAGCCAACUUCAGCCUUACCAUGGAUUCAUGGAAUUUUACUAUUUUGGAGACCCCUUCUAGUGAGCUCAAUAGUCUCAUCUUUAAUGACAUCUCUGGUGCUUGUAUGCCUAGAAAUGUUCGUGUAAUUGUUUAGUUUUCUCUUUUGGGCUUCGGCUCUCUCUUGUACAAAAAAAAAAUAAAAAUAAGCAAACUUUGAUUUUAGAGCCUCUAAAAAAAUAAAACGGGAUAUCUUCAUCCUCCAAGAAAUUUCUUUUUCUUUUUGUAUCUAUAAUGCCCAGAAUGUUAGGAUUCUUUCAUGUUAAAGAUGUAUUCAUAUUAUGUUCAAAAAUAUCAAAAGUAUUUCAAAAUUAUGCCCAUUAAGAACCAACAACGAAAACAUCUAUCUAAUCAACUAAAAAAAGUUAUCUUUUUUCUCUUCUUCUCAAACCCUAGUCGUCACCCCUUUCUUCUUCUUGUUAGAGGGGUGAUUUAGGGUCAAUUUUGACCCAAUAAUCACCCCUCCGAGUUGUUUUUUUCCUUCUAUCCUAAUUGAAUAAGUGAUUUCACAUAUUUUCUGUUUCCUUUCGUUUGUUUUUGUGAUUUUGUCGUCUAUGAAUGACUCUGUUUGUUUUGAUUUCCCGUCUUUGUGCGAUGUGUUUGAUUUCCCGUUUUAGUACGGUGUUUAUUUGAUUCAGGUUGAAAGAUUAGCUUUGAACAAGUGCAGAUCCGAUCAAUGACAAUGACUUUGGUGUCGUCAACGUUGCAAAUCCGGAGACAUGAGUACUUCAGAGACUUAAAUAUAGUCAUAUUAGUCAUAUUUGUAGGCAACUUUGCCGUUUUAUGCUAUUAACAUGGAUGAUGUGAGUUUGUUCAUAGAUUCAUCCUUUUUGUUUUUAGCGAAUUUAAAUUUAUAUUGUAUCGAUGUACUCUAUCAAUUUGAAUGAAUGAAUAUCGUUUAUUUUUGUCAAAAAAAAAAGAACCAACAACGAAACAAUUUUUUUUUCUAGGAUGAAAACAUCCAGAUUUACUUUUAAAGACUAAAAUGAAGAUUCUAUUCUAUAUAUGUUUAGGAUGAAAAACUUAUUUAUAACCAUAAAAAUUAUGCUUAACAAGAUAGAUUGGAUUUAUAGAAAGAAAAUGCUAGAGUGGUACGAACGAAGAGCAACAAAAUGAUUUUUUUUUCAUUCCUUAAACAACAAUAUAGAAAGAUAAGUACAUUUGAUUUUCUACACCUAUCUUAUCGGCUUUUGAUAGAAGAGUAAUGCUUGGUGCGAAAUAUUUUCGCACAAAUCACACGAAAGCAUGUAUUUUUAUUAUUCCGCUAAGCAUGAUGAUAACACAAUUAAAAACAAGUUACUUACAAAUCUACGAUUGAAAGCAUGAACACUGCUACUUACAAAUUCACAAUUUAUUAUUUUUAAUAUUCCUCUCAAAAAAUUAAUAUAAAUAUUAGGACAAAAUAUUUUUUUGUUCCAAUAAAAUUACAAGUUUUUAAGUUUAGUCUCUCUAAACUUUUAAUGAUAAUUUUAGUCAUUUAUAAUAUUGUACACCCUCCGGUCACUAAUAUAAGCAAAAAUACACUUUUUAAAUACAUUAAUUUAAUGAUGUAUGUGGUCUUUAUUAUAUGUCACAUACAACAUUUAUUGAAUGUAUCUAAAAAGUAAAUUUUUGCUUAUAUUAGUGACCAGAGGGUGUAGCUUUUAAGAACAACCUCGAUUCUUCCCUAAAAAAAAAAAGAACAACCUCGAUUUUGAAAACUUUUUUAAAAAAGGAUAUUUUCAGUCCUCAACACAGUCCUUAUAAAACGCAUAGGGACUAAAAGUGAAUAAUUUUUUUAAAGGAUUAAACGUGAAAGCUCGUAAUUUUGUACGGACUAAGCACAUUUAACUCUUAGAGUUUGUUUGGUAAGACAUGAUUUUGAGCUCAUAGUUUAUAUCAUAUAAGCUCAUUUGACUAAAAAACAGAUUUAUUUGAUAAAUGUCACUUUAUCAUGAGUUUAUAACUUAUUUUUACUAGUUUAUGUCUGUUAAUAAGCUAAUUAUAGCAUAUCACUAUUUAUCUCAACUUUACCCCUACAAAUUUAAUUGGCAAAUAAAAUUAAUUAAAUAUAUCAGUUUUAUGUCAUUUCAUAUUUACAAGUUAAUUUUACUAAAUACUGUAAAUUCAGUCAGCUAACUUAUUCGCUAUCAGUUAUAAGAUAGUUUAUCAACUAUUUGAUAGCUAUAAAGUCAUAUGCAAUAAACUAACGAAUCAGUUAUUCACUAUUUUUAACCAAACAAACCUUAUUAUUAUUAAUAUUAUAUUAUUUAAUUAAAAUAAUAUAUUUAAAACCUUAUGAACCAUAUCCAAAUUAUCUCUGGACGGUGAAAUGAAAGUAUGACACUCAAAUAAACCUACAAGCUUUUUUUCCCCGGUAUAUAACUAAGCCAGUUUUUAUCAAUGCAAAAAUAUAUAAUAAUUGUGCGUGCAUGCUUCACGUAAUUUGUGCGAAAAUAUUGGAUAACAUUUAGGUGACAUUGGUGACAUCGACCAAUCACAAUAUUACAAUGCUUGUGAAAGAGAGACAAACAUAAGUGUAACAUUGUAAUUGACCAAUAUCACCAAUAUCACCCAAAUACUAUCCGAAAAUAUUUCGCACCAUCCAACAUUUUUGUUCAGAAUUAACCAAAGUCUUACCGAACACCUUUUUUAUACUAAAACAUAGUGAAAUUGAUUUUUUCGGUCUCUUCUUCCUAGGCUUGCAAAGUGGCAUGAGGCAGAGCAUUAUUGAGGAUAAUUCUAAUAGAGAGAGUGUUGUGAUUUUAUUUGUUUAAUUUUAAAUCAGCCGUUUUUCAAGAACAAAAAUGAGGCAGGCAGAUCUAGUAUCUUUCGUUUUCUUUUACUUUUUCUUGAGGCAUAUAUGUCCAUUAAUAUACAGCAAUAUACAGAUAAGACACAUUUUUAUUAAAGUAUCAAGUUGACAGGAUAUAUAAAUAUAUAUAAAUGGCCAAUGACAAAAAUAUAUAUAUACAACAUUUUCAGUGAUAGGUCAUUGGAAACCACACAAGAAUUGUUUGUCACUUUGUUAUAAUCUACACCUUAUAGUAUCCACACACGCACAAAGAAGAAUUAUAUUGGCGAUGGAAGAAAAAACAAAGAUGGAUAUGGAAGAAGGAGAAGAGAAAGCACUUACUAUCUACUUCAUACCUUACUUAGCUCCUGGUCAUAUGAUCCCUUUAUGUGACAUAGCAACACUCUUUGCCUUACGCCGUCAAAAAGUUACCAUCAUAACCACACCCUCCAAUGCUCAAAUCCUUGGCAAAUCCAUCCCUUUAAACCAACACCUCCG